rnacentral:tRNA from 1 species
UUCUCAUAGUUGAAGUACAACAGUGACUUUUCGUGUCACUAGUCGUGGAUAUAAUCCAUGUGAGAAUA